rnacentral:rRNA from 1 species
UACGUAGGUGGCAAGCGUUAUCCGGAAUUAUUGGGCGUAAAGCGCGCGCAGGCGGUUUCUUAAGUCUGAUGUGAAAGCCCACGGCUCAACCGUGGAGGGUCAUUGGAAACUGGGGAACUUGAGUGCAGAAGAGAAAAGCGGAAUUCCACGUGUAGCGGUGAAAUGCGUAGAGAUGUGGAGGAACACCAGUGGCGAAGGCGGCUUUUUGGUCUGUAACUGACGCUGAGGCGCGAAAGCUAGGGGAGCGAACGGG